CUCAGUUCGGAUCGGAGUCUGCAACCCGACUCCGUGAAGCUGGAUUCGCUAGUAAUCGCGCAUCAGCCAUGGCGCGGUGAAUACGUUCCCGGGCCUUGUACACACCGCCCGUCAAGCCAUGGAAGCCGGGGGUGCCUGAAGUGUGCAACCGCAAGGAGCGCCCUAAGGUAAAACCGGUGACUGGGGCUAAGUCGUAACAAGGUAAC
rnacentral:rRNA from 1 species